rnacentral:rRNA from 1 species
GAUGAACGCUGGCGGCGUGCCUAAUACAUGCAAGUCGAGCGAACAGACGAGGAGCUUGCUCCUCUGACGUUAGCCGCGGACGGGUGAGUAACACGUGGAUAACCCCCCUAUAAGACUGGGAUAACUUCGGGAAACCGGAGCUAAUACCGUAUAAUCUACUGCACCGUAUGGUUCAAUAGUGAAAGACGGCUUUUCUGUCACUUAUAGAUGGAUCUGGGCGGCUUGAGAUAGUUGGUAAGUUCACGGCUUACCAAGGCAACGAUGCGUAGCCGAACUACGAGGCGGAUCGGCCACCCUGGAGCGGAAACACGGACAAGGGUCCUGCGGGAGGCACCAGUAGGGAACCUUCCGCAGUAGGCGAGAACCUGGCGGAGCAACGGGGAGUGAGUGGUAGAGAUCUUCGGAGCGUAAUACUCUGUUAUUAGGGAAGAACAGAUGUGUAAGUAACUAAGCACGGCUUGACGGUACCUAAUCAAGAAGCCACGGCUAACUACGUG